AAAAAAAUACCUGAACAGUGAGAUUUUGGACCACCAUCUGGUGGUCGAAAGAAAAAUGGACACUGGCUCUUAGUGCUGCAACAUUCAAAGGCAAUUUACCUGACAAUUUUUUAACAAAUCAGAAGAGAAUGACUUUUGGAAAAUCAAAAUUCCAUAGAACAAUGUAACAUUUUACAGAAUGUGAAUUCAACUCAAAAAUUUUGAUUAACAUAAUGUUCAAAAUUAGGGUGGUUUAUUGAAAUAUAAAUAUUUAAAAAGUUUUUAUCAGCUUACCAUCAUUAUUAACUCCAACUAACAAUUCAGUCUCUUCUCCAGCAGUAAUCACUGCAUUUAAAAAUUGAAAAUUAAACAACCAUGAAUGUGACAAAACAUUGCAUGCAGAUAGACAAAAGUCACAAAAAUGAAGAAAAUGCUUACUGAGAGCAGAAUUUUGAGGGAACACACACACAGUGUCAAUACCAGGAGCUGAAGUU
rnacentral:lncRNA from 1 species